AAGGGAUUGCCUUAGUAGCGGCGAGUGAAGCGGCAAAGCUCAAAUUUGAAAUCUGGCUCUUUCAGAGUCCGAGUUGUAAUUUGAAGAAGGUAUCUUUGGGUCUGGCUCUUGUCUAUGUUUCUUGGAACAGAACGUCACAGAGGGUGAGAAUCCCGUGCGAUGAGAUGAUCCAGGCCUAUGUAAAGUUCCUUCGAAGAGUCGAGUUGUUUGGGAAUGCAGCUCUAAGUGGGUGGUAAAUUCCAUCUAAAGCUAAAUAUUGGCGAGAGACCGAUAGCGAACAAGUACAGUGAUGGAAAGAUGAAAAGAACUUUGAAAAGAGAGUGAAAAAGUACGUGAAAUUGUUGAAAGGGAAGGGCUUGAGAUCAGACUUGGUAUUUUGUAUGUUACUUCUUCGGGGGUGGCCUCUACAGUUUAUCGGGCCAGCAUCAGUUUGGGCGGUAGGAGAAUUGCGUUGGAAUGUGGCACGGCUUCGGUUGUGUGUUAUAGCCUUCGUCGAUACUGCCAGCCUAGACUGAGGACUGCGGUUUAUACCUAGGAUGUUGGC
rnacentral:rRNA from 1 species